rnacentral:lncRNA from 10 species
CAGAGCUAUCAGCUUCCCAGUUUGCACAAUUCAUCAAGAAAUAAUGCAGGGCCGCUGGCACAAAUGAUGAGGCAUCUCCCGGAAGCUUAACUUCCUAUCCAUCCCAUCUCUUGGACAGACGAUGCCAGUUAAUUACGUUGAAUUUUAUCUUCUAGGAGCAGCUUGACUAUCUAAUCUGGGUUUACCACUUCUGGAAGACUUUUUACCCACAGUGGGACUCUGAUAUUUGUGUAACUGGAAAUGGAAAUGAGAUCUUCUGAAUGUGGAAUGCAAAGGAGAGGAUGGAGUCACUCUGUCGCCCAGGCUGGAUUGCAGCAGCACAAUCUAGGCUCACUGAAACCUCAGCCUCCUGGGUUCAAGCAAUUCUCCUGCCUCAGUCACCCUACAUAGUCAUCAUUCUGACAUCAUCUAAAAGAAAUUAGUAUCUGCAUUGCAUCCUUAAAGAAGAAGGGACAAAAGACAUGUCCAAACUGUCUGUCUGUUCUAGUGGAAUAAAACAUUAAUUUAAUAUGUAUUUUGGACAACCACCAACCUAGAGAUUGGAAACUUUUCUCAAGGAUAUAUCUCUCUGUAUGUGGGCUACUGGCUUUGUGGCUUUUCUGUAGGAAAAUUAAAAUUCUAGUUUUGUUCUCCCUUA